ACCUGGCUGGCUCAGUUGGUAGAGCAUGUGACGCUUAAUCUCAGGGUCAUGAGUUCAAGCCCCAUGUUGGGGG
rnacentral:tRNA from 2 species